CGAGAUGAGUCUUCCCUGGGAACUUGAUUCCCCUGAAGGGACGUUCGAGACGAGGACGUUGAUAGGCUGGGUGUGUAAGCGUAGCGAUACGUUGAGCUAACCAGUACUAAUGACCCGAGAGGCUUAACCUUACAACACCGAAGGUGUUU
rnacentral:rRNA from 1 species